rnacentral:rRNA from 1 species
CCUACGGGUGGCAGCAGUGAGGAAUAUUGGUCAAUGGCCGAGAGUCUGAACCAGCCAAGUCGCGUGAGGGAAGACGGCCCUACGUGUUUUAAACCUCUUUUGUCGGGGAGCAAAGCGAGUUACGUGUGACUCAUUGAGAGUACCCGAAGAAAAAGCAUCGGCUAACACCGUGCCAGCAGCCGCGGUAAUACGGAGGAUGCGAGCGUUAUCCGGACUGACUGGGGGUAAAGGGUGCGUAGGUUGUUUUGCAAGUUAGUAGCGUAACUCCACGGCUCAACCUUGGAACUACUACUAAAACUGUUGGACUUGAGUGCAGGAGGGGCAACCGGAAUUCCUAGUGUAGCGGUGGAAUGCGGAGAUAUUAGGAGGAACACCAGUGGCGAAGGCGGGUUGCUAGACUGUAACUGACACUGAGGCACGAAAGCGUGGGGAGCAAACAGGAUUAGAUACCCCUGUAGUC